CUUCUGAGGGCAGAGUGUACUUUUGCGAAGUUUGACAAAAUUAUUUGUGGCUUAAAAAGCGUCUACAUAAGAUACUCAAAACAAGUGAUUUACUUUAAAUUUCAAAAUCAGAUGUAAAAAAAAAUUGAAUUAACUCCUAGCAAAAUUUUCCUCUACAGAAAAAUUUUCUAAUAAUGCUAAAACACGGUGAAAUAAAAAGUCUAUGAAAAUGCCAACCGACUUGUUUCCCAACAAGUCUACAAGAUUGAUGGACUUUAAUCCUUUGGAACAUUAAAAUGUAUAUAGCAGACAGUUUUACCAUGGAAGAUAAUUGUUUUAGUUUUUUUUUUUUUUUGCCUUUUAGAGGGCUUAAAGGAUAAGCUGUGCUUUCUGUUUCUCAUGGAACUGCAGAACAGAAGGACUGAAAGUGAGGCCUAGGAAUUGUCUAGUUCAGCCUCCUUAUUUUUCAGAGGAGGAAGAACAGAGGCCCAGAGAGCUGAGGUGAUCUGCCAGUUGCAGAGCUGGGGCUAGAACUAGAGUGUCCUCUUCUCUAGGAGAGGAAUUAGCAGCAGCCAACCUCAAACAGCAACCUGGUAUCCUGGGAAUUUGCUUGUAUGCUGUGUGGACAUAAUCUGACCCGGCAGAGUCAAAUUCCAAGACAGUUCCACAUACGUUCCAGAUAAAAAUGCAUCUUCAUUUGAAGUGAAAUAGAAUGACAGACCAACAUCCCCCUCAACCCCAAUUUAGCAAUAGAAACAUAAAAUUAUCUAAUAUUUAAAAAUCUCUACUCCUUAAUAUAACAGAAAGACCAUCAGAGAGCAUCAUCUAACCACGUCGGCAGUUCCCAACACACCAGCUUACAAGUGCACCUCAAAGCCUAUAUUGGUCCAUUGCUUCUUUCACUUGGCAAGCAGCUACUUUCUGCUCACUUCAUUCCCCUGUGAAGAACCUCACACCUGUAAUCCCAGCAUUUUGGGCAGCCAAGGCAGGAGGAUUGCUUGAACCCAGGAGUUUGAGACCAACCUGGGACAACAAAGUGAGGAACUGCAUCUCUACAAGAGCUUUAAAAAAAAUAAUUAGCCGGCCCUGCUGGCGCAUGCCUGUAGCCCCUCACUAUCAGGGGCCCUUAUCCUCACAUUCAUCCACAUCAGGUUCAACCUCUUUCUCCUGGCCCCUCCCUCCACCAAUAUGAGGUUUCAAAACAAAACAAAAAACCAGAAUGUAGUUCCUCUUCACAAAUUUGGGAACAUCUGAUCUGGUGGUUCCUAAAUUAUAAAAUGGAGUAAUGGAGAGAACAUAUACCUGGGUAUCACUCAGAUCCAGGUCAACUAUGGCUCUGAUUUACAAACUCUUGAGGAAGCCCUCAAUCUCUUGAAGGUUCGAUUUCUUUAUCUCUAAAUUAGAGAUAAUAAUGUUUAUCCUACAGAGCUGUUGUAGAGAUUAAAUAAAGUCACAUUUAAAAUGUAUUUACCACACUGCCUGGCUCAUGCUAGAUACUUAUUCCUUUCCAUCUUUCAAUGAAAUUACAUUUCCUAGCUUCUGAAUUAUUGUUCUUUAUUUAUUAGGCUGGUGCAAAACCUAGCUUAAUUGAAACUGACACAUCUUAUCAAAUAUCUGAUGUUCUUAAGUAGGUUUUAUUCUAAUAUGUGAGCUAUAUGAAACAUUAGUGACAAGGUUGACCACUUUAUUGUUUAUACAAUAUUACUCAGAAAAUAUAUGUAUUUGGAAAAUAUUAUUUUGAUCAGAAAUAUUACCAAUUUAUCUUCUCAGUUUAUGUAAUUCAUAAUAAUUCUGGGAUUAAUUGCCUCCAAAUUGGAUAUCUUUUCAAGAAAACUGGUUGUCAUCCAUUGUUACAUGUAGCCUGAAUAUUGAUCAAUAACUAAUAAAAUCAUACUGUUUGACACAUUUAAAUUAAAUUAGUGAGUUCAUGGUUCAGAAUGAAUAUUUGGUUAUAUUCUUUAGAAAACAAUAUUCUCUACUUAUGAGCAGUAUUUUGCCCUUUAUGAUAAAAUCUCAUGCUUCUUAUCUAAACUAGAAAACAUCAACCUUUUAAUCCAUGGUUCUGUGUGUUUCCUGGGACCAAUGUGGUUAAACACUUAGAGCCAACUCACUUAGUCUCCCUAAAUUUUAGUGUCCCAAGCUAGGUGAAUAAAAUAAUUUUGCAUUUAUAAUAAUACCUUUCUUUUACAAAGUUCACAAUGCAUUGAACUACUCUAUUAUUAAUUCUGAAGCAUUCCUAUAGACUUAGGAGAGGGUAUCUAUUAAACCCAGCUUCCAAACAGGAGUCACAGCCAUGGGCUGAGUGAUUUGCUCAAGGUCACACAGAUAUAGGGUUAUAAAGAUCAAAUGAUAUCAUGCAUGCCAAGAGUUUGACAACCAUACAGUGCUAUAUGUGUGCAGGGUAUGACCAGAUAUAUGAAUAAAUCUGUGAUGAGUUUUCAUAGUUAUUGGCUGCUAUUCUCAAUACUCUUUUCCUUUGACUUUCUGGCCAAAACCAAAGUAAUACAUGCCGCCAAAAAAUCUCACAGAGCAUAGUCAGUAAUAACAAGAAGCUGGGACAUAUACAGAAUCCCUUGGAAAUAUGAUGCCAUGUAAAUGUUAUAUUAAUGGUGACCCUAUUAUUAAAGUAUAAAACAACUUGUUUAUUUACUUUUUAAAAAACAAUAAAACAAGCUUGAAAUUCUGACCAAACUCUAACUUGGGGAUCGACUUCCAAUACUUUUUAAUCUCUUCUGCUGCAUCUACUUAAUUUCCUACUUGGCUGGAGAAUUACUGAGAAAUCUUGUAGGAAA
rnacentral:lncRNA from 1 species